GCCUGGGUAGCUCAGUGGUUGAGCGUCUGCCUUUGGCUCAGGGCGUGAUCCCAGGAUCUGGGAUCAAGUCCCACAUCAGGCU
rfam:Canis lupus familiaris chromosome 1, whole genome shotgun sequence.